rnacentral:misc_RNA from 1 species
GAUGAAGAACGUAGCGAAAUGCGAUAAGUAAUGCGAAUUGCAGAAUCCGUGAGUCAUCGAAUCUUUGAACGCACAUUGCGCCCGCCAGUAUUCUGGCGGGCAUGCCUGUUCGAGCGUCAUUACAACCCUCAGGCCCCCGGGCCUGGCGUUGGGGAUCGGCGGAGCCCCCCGUGGGCACACGCCGUCCCCCAAAUACAGUGGCGGUCCCGCCGCAGCUUCCAUCGCGUAGUAGCUAACACCUCGCGACUGGAGAGCGGCGCGGCCACGCCGUAAAACACCCAACUCUUCUGAAGUUGACCUCGAAUCAGGUAGGAAUACCCGCUGAACUUAAGCAUAUCAAUAAGCGGAGGA